UAGGCCACAGAGACUCCAUCACUUUAAACCUAUGCAAUGCCAAUUCUACAAAAUGAAAGAGAAAAAAAUUCCUUUUGUUUGACCUAAAACCAUGAUCAGUAAAGGCUUUUGACUUAUCUUCAUGUAAACAUAACAACACGUAAAAGAAAGGCCAGAGGAGCCAAAGGUUUCCUCAAGCCCAGUGCACCUAAGCCUAGACCCAUAAUUGGCAUCGAAAAUAAACACAAAGUGACUAGGUUUGCACGGUGGGAGACAAUCAGUGGAAAUACAUAGUGAUUUUUGAAAUAAUUGAUGACAACCUGGAGUAAACUAUGAAUGUGUCAGUAUUACAGGCUGCGAAUAUGCCAAGAGGAAUAGUCACUGGCAUUUCAGCUAUAAUUAAAUUAAAACACUUUCCUACUUUUCCUAACCAUAAACAGUGAUGUUUGUGUAUUUCUGAUAUUCCUGCUCAUGUCUCUGUUGUUUUACAAGGUAUAACAAUUAGACCAAGAUCACACCCCAUACUGGCAUCCCAUUGGGAAGCAUCUCUAACAUUAGGUCACUGGAUAGUCAAGGUUAAAUCUGGUUCAACCUCUGAAAAUCACAAUAAUGAUGGUAGUCGUCUCUGGGUCUCAUUAACCAAUUGUUUUCUUAAUUUUACUACUCUCAUUUGUAGAGUCCUGUGACAACUUGAUGCCAUCCAUCUUGAGCCUUUGAAUGCCUGAAAUUUAGUAGGAAUGGAGAACUUAAAUCUCUAUCCUUCUUCCAAAGAAUUAUGUUUGAAGAAUCUGAAAGAUUUAUCAUCACUAGACCUAAUAAAGAUGGAUGAAGACCUUAAUUUCAGAUCAACAGAUGUGAUGUGAUUUCUCAGGAUCCUGCUGCAAUAUGGACUCUCCCUCUGGUACAGUAAAGCAAAAUAAACUUUGAUUUAAAAAAGAAAAAGACACA
rnacentral:sRNA from 1 species